rnacentral:rRNA from 1 species
ACGGCGAGUGAACGGAGAUUAGCCCAUCACCGAAGUCUAUCCGCAUUUGUGGACAGGACAAUGUGGUGUUUAGGCGUGUACCUGGGAGCGCUUGCCUACCCGAAGUCCAUCUCCGAUUCUGGCUUGGACUAUGCCCAUAGCGGGUGAAAGGCCCGUGCGGGUAGGCUGUGAUGCAAUAAGCGAUCCUCAGAUGUGCAUGCCUUCGAGUCGGAUUGCUUGAGAAUGCAGUCCAAAGUGGGUGGUAAACUCCAUCCAAGGCUAAAUACUGGCACGAGUCCGAUAGUAGACAAGUACCGUGAGGGAAA